rnacentral:rRNA from 1 species
GAAACCGUUCAGGGGUAAACCUGAGAAACCCGAAAGAUCGAAUGGGGAGAUUCAUCGUCAGCGGCGCUGGCUUCACGGUGGUGCGUGAUGCUCUGAGUGGCCUCGUGCCUACUGCAAGAGCACGCCAUCGCCGAUAGAAUGUCCGGCGUCGUAGUCGUGCACUUCUCCCCUAGUAGAACGUCGCGACCCGUUGGGUGUCGGUCUACGGCCCGGGUGGGUGCCUGUCGUGUCGUUAYCAUGCGCACGCGGCAGACCCCCGGUCGCCCGACCGGCUGCUCGGCGGUACUCGUACGGUAUUGGGCCGCAACCAUGUGCGUCAGGCCCGCCGCAAGCGCGGUCAGUGCAUACCCGGAUGAUACGGACUUAGCGCCGUUCCCGGGCCUGGCCCGCUGUUCGCUGUGCGGAGUCCUCGGACAGGCCAAGCUUUGAAAUACCGGUCGGCGACGCUACUGCUUUGGGUACUCUCAGGACCCGUCUUGAAACACGGACCAAGGAGUCUAACAUGUACGCGAGUCAUUGGGAUUAUGGAAACCUAAAGGCGUAAUGAAAGUGAAAGUCGUCCAUAGCGUCGACCGAGGGAGGAUGGGCCGCGUUACGAUUCGGCCUCGCACUCCCGGGGCGUCUCGUUCUCAUUGCGAGAAGAGGCGCACCUAGAGCGUACACGUUGGGACCCGAAAGAUGGUGAACUAUGCCUGGUCAGGACGAAGUCAGGGGAAAUCCUGAUGGAGGUCCGUAGCGAUUCUGACGUGCAAAUCGAUCGUCGGAACUGGGUAUAGGGGCGAAAGACUAAUCGAACCAUCUAGUAGCUGGUUCCCUCCGAAGUUUCCCUCAGGAUAGCUGGCACUCGCUCGUUCCUCGAGAACAGCGCAUGAGUCUCAUCUGGUAAAGCGAAUGAUUAGAGGCCUUGGGGCCGAAACGACCUCAACCUAUUCUCAAACUUUAAAUGGGUGAGAUCUCUGGCUUGCUUGAACUAUGAAGCCACGAGAUUUCGGAUCAGAGUUGCCAAGUGGGCCAAUUUUGGUAAGCAGAACUGGCGCUGUGGGAUGAACCAAACGCAGAGUUAAGGCGCCUAAGUCGACGCUUAUGGGAUACCAUGAAAGGCGUUGGUUGCUUAAGACAGCAGGACGGUGGCCAUGGAAGUCGGAA